AUGCCGAUGCCGCUGAGCUGGUGUGUCCAAAGCACCCUGCCCCUCUCUGGGAGUUCUAGUUGCUGGAGGCACCUGGCUCUGUCAUGAUGCAGGAACCAAAACAGUGAUUUCAGGUGCUGCUGCUCAGAGUGACACCUGCACCAGCCACCCAUGGCCGUGCCAGCAGGCAAGAAGUGACAGCUAUCCAUUUAAAGGCAGUAGAAGUGAGCAGUGGGGUUUUUUGCAGAAAACAAUGGUGCUCACGGUACACCAAUACCCAUCAGCACUGUUUCCCCUGGCCCAGUCCAACCAGAAUCCACCGUCCCGAGCAUGUUUAUACAGUCUGGAGCAACAACAUGGCUCCCCAUCAUUGCAGCAGAAAGCUCAAAACAGCAUUACUCAUCCCUUGUAUUACAAGAAAUAUCCUAAAGAACAGUGUCUGCAGCUACAGCAGCCAGGAUGGAAACACCUGUCAGGG